rnacentral:lncRNA from 1 species
AAUAAAAGGUCCAUGUGUCCAUGUGCCAUUUCCAUGUGUCACCAACUAGGAGAGUCCAAAGGUUCACAUAGGUAUGAAUUCACCAUUUGAGAGCCAUAAAAGCGGCCACUCCCAAGUUCUUCCCAUGCUCUCAUGUUGUAUAUCCGUGAAGGUAUUUAGUGCAAGGCCCUGGGGGUGGACUAGUAACAAGGUAUAUAGCACAUGUCCGAGGACAAAUUGGAGCUACAAGACAAUGCCGUCAUUAGCUCUUUGUCCUUUUAAAUUAUACUUAUUCAGGUAGUUACUGCCUGGUUACAAAGAAGUAAUUAAAAAAAAAAUGUGCCAAAUAAAGCCCUGGGGUCCAUAUAAAAAACACUUUAAAAGAUGGCCGGGGGCAGGAUAGACUUCAGCAAGUCUCAAGAGUUGGGUUUAAUUCAACUUCUAAGUGGUGUAUUAAAUAAAAUCCCCAGAGACUCAUGGGCCCUAAACAUGGUCUGUGUUAGCAUCAGAAUCUGCCUCUCUUCAAAUCUGAGUGAUUUACUAUACUUUUGGGGAUUUGUAAAAUAAAUAUGUGAUUCUCCCUACAUGUAUCACUGGAGUUGCUUCAAACACAAAGAACAUUGCCCUGGGAAAUGGAAAAAGUACCAGGGAAAAGAAUGUUGCUUUGACAAUAUUCAACACAAUACGAUUAGCUACAGAAGUAGGCCAAAAACAAGGUUUCUUCAUUGUCGGUAGAAACUGCUUAUAAAGAACUUGGUGGGAAAUCAAUGCUUCCAUAUCCUCCCUUUUCAGGUCAUUUUAUUCCUGUUCUAUUGCUCAGUUUACAGGAAAUUCUGAUAACAAAGAACACUAAUGUCUCCUAACCUUUUUACCCACUGAGUUGCCAUAUUCCAAGCGGAGGAUUUCUGUGUGCCUAAGAUUGAAUGUGUUCACCCCAAGCAUACUGCAGCUUCUUACACCAUUUUUUCAUAUCUGAAUAGAGUCUGUCAGGAAGGUGAUGGAUGAAUCUUACUGGGAGACUAAUCUUACUGAGAGACUUUUAAGUAAGAUCUAUAAACUCUCUUUGAUAUGUUUAGAAAAUAUGUUGCAGAAAAUUACUGGUGAUUAAUUAAAGCAGCAAGAAAAAAAACAGGAAAACCCAGAAAUUUAAACUUUGGAUAUAUCUUUUUACUAAUCAUAAAUGUACAGAUAUAAUUAAAUAUAUAAUACCAUAUAUUGUGAAACAAUGACCAAAAUGACUCUAUGAAACAUAAUUCCUAAUGGACUACUCUAUUUUCCUUUUAUUAAGACGGACCUAAUAGAAUUGGAUAACCCAAUGGACAAAGUAGUUAGUACCUAUAUUUAAGUACAGUUUUAGAUUCUGUUACCAGGAUGUUCUCAACAGCAUACAAGAAAAUUAUGGUCAUAUCUGGUAAGUUCUCAGUGGAUAUGCUGGACACCAUUAAAAUUUGUAAGACAGUAUUUUGUACAGGACUACUGAGUACUUAUUUGCAGUUUGGAUGACUCUACAGAGCAUGUUCAAUACGUUGAAUCAGUCUCUAACAAUUAUGGAAGGUUUCCUGAGUGGUGAACUCAAGAUGCCACCGGAGAAAAAGAAGAAACAGAAAACAGCUUAGCUCCUGCUUCAAGAAACUCAAUCAGUAGUGAAAAAUAACAAAAUUGCAUAUAUAAAGGAAAUAAGUAAAUAAACAUAAAAUUGAGAGCAAGUUUAUACAUUGCCAAAUAGCAAUUGAAGCAGCAUGAAGUCAAGCCUAGGGUUCUCUUACAAACAGAUAUUCUUAAGUCAGGCUCUGAAGAAGAGAAAUGUUUGUUGUGGUAGAGAGUGGAACAGACAUUAUUCAGGGAGGAAUGAGAUGUAAAAGAUAAAAAGUGAAAAUAAGCACAGCACAUGCAGAUUGGCUUGAGCAGAAUGAAGAAUCUGUUUCAGAGAUCAGCAAGAGGCAAUGGUUACAGUCAUUAUAGGAGAAUAACUAAAGAUUUAGAAGCCAUGCAGAGAACAUGAAGAUCUUUCAAUAUGAAAUAUUCUUAGUCACAACAGCUUCAUGAUGUUAACAUCCUCUCUAGCAUUAACAUUUUUAUUUCAUCAUCCUAAAAUUAUACUGACAAUAAUAUCUGAAAGAAACAAAACAGAAGAGGCACUAAGGAAGGAAGGCCAGCCAGAAUGAUGGCAAUGUUCAAGUUUGAUGUUGGCCAGAAUUAGAAUAAUAGUUAUUCAACCAGAAAAGGUAGGAUGAUGAAUCAGACAUUAAGAGGAAAUAUUUUCCUCAUGGAUAAAAACCCAACAACUGGGCAUCAUUAUUCUUACAGCAGGAAGUUUUCUUUCUUUCCUUUCACAAAGAACAUUCUAAAAGCUACAGGAUGGAAGCCAGCAUAGCUUGUGCCUCUUUCCAUUAUCUACUGUAAUUCCUAAUCUCUCUCUCUACUAAGAGAAAAGAAUCUUUUCUUUUGAUUGUUUGGUCACACCACACUACAACUCAAACAUUCUGAGCUGACCCAGUGGGGACAUGCAAACAUUUUCCAUAAGAGCCUUGUGAUUAUAGGCUUUCUAAAAGUCUGGGUUUUCCAGAAUCCAUUCAUUGAUUCAUUCAUUGAUUCAAUCAUUAGACAAAACACAUAAACCAAGUUCAUGUUAAGCAAUCACUAAAUGACAGCUAUUAUUAUUAUCACCAAGAACUAACAGCCUGAAGGGAAAGAUAGAUACAUAAAUGAAAUACAUAUUUUUUAAGUGGAAUAACAGAAGGAAGUAUGUUAGUAGCUUGCCCAAGUGAUCCCUAACAACACAAUGAUAGAGAAUGUGAGUCCACAUUUUACUUUUUUCAUUAAAGAGAAUCUUUCCUGAGCUUUAUCAAUGCCUCACUUAAGACAAAUGACAGCCCUUCUUUUGUUCAACUUUUUAUCAUUAUAAUGGCCAUUCACACAACAAAAGGGACAUACUUGUGUCCCUUUUACACAAGUAUAGAGAGUGCCUUUUUGUUUAUUCAAUAGAGAAGAAACUUUAUAGAAAAUAAUACAUUUAUAAAAUGUAUGGUCUCCUUGAAGACCAUAAAGCAUGUGUUUGUAGAAAAUAAUAUACUUGGGUAAAGUAAAUAUAAUGAUCAUUUAAAAAUUAUUACGUUUCUAAUUUUUAGUGGAUGCCUCAUGAGAAAGGUCUAUAUUUAGGCUACAGCAAAGUCUCUGGUAACUUCAGCAGAAAAUAAAGACAUGUGGCUACAUGGCUACGCAAUUUGCUCAAUUGUGUAAUCUUUGUACAAAAAAAAGGUCAUACUGCUAUCAAAGGCAUUCUGCUUGCCUUAGGUCUGAAGCGUGAAAUCUUAAGAGCCAAAAUAAAAAUUACGGAAACUGGAAACAAUUCCUAAUAGCCAACUGCUAAGAAAAGAAAAGGCUCUUUAUUCAGAAAGUUAUUUAUUAAAGUAGUGUGAAAAGAAUGGCAGUAAUGGAACUUGGUCUUUCAUAAAAUGUCAAAUUCUUCCAAUUAGCCUCAGUGUUGUAUAAAGGUAUUUUGUUAUAUUGCUCCUUGGUAUUUAUUCAAUAUAAAUGGUCCACAGGAAAAAAGGUUUCAAUCUCAAUAAUCCAUUUUUAAAGAAAUUAUUUUUAUUAUAUAUUUGAUGGGUUAUAUCAGUGGCUGUAAGGAGACAUCUCCUGCCAGGUGUUUUAAGCCCUUCUUAUUGGCUCUGACCACCACUCCUACCUCACAGGAUACUUCUUAAUGGAGAGCAGUUUAAUUCCAGGUCUUUGAAUAAAGCCACCUUGACAGCUGCCACAUUACACCUUAUGGAAGACCAUUAUCUCUUUUCUCCACUUUCCGCAUGCCCAAGAGGGGUGUUUUUAAAGAAGAAACCACACAAUUAGUUUAUAAGGCUUUUAGAAUUUAUCUUUUUCGAAGAGGGAAGUGAAUCCAAAGACAGAUAAGAAAGAAAACUACUUUUAAAACGGGAAUGAGUAUGAAAUUCAGUAAAUCUUGCAGACAGUAAAGAAAUGAAUCAGGCACAGUGGGACUGGACUAGUAUAUUUUCUUUAAUAACAGCAUCAACAUGUUAUAUGAUUUUUCCUUUUUUUCUAACAUUAUAUAAGUGAAUCCCUUUAAAUCUCAAUAAGAAAGAGGCACCGACUAUAGAAAGUUUUAUAAUGUGCUUAUAGUUUUUCAAAAUCAUAUAGAAAGCAUGUAAUAAUGUUAAGAUUCUGAUAUAAUAUGCAUACAUUUAUAAGAAAACUUUUAGAGUAAAUUUAUGAUUGCAAUUGGGAAUAAUAUACACAGAUCUGAUUACCAUCUUGGUUAUUGAGUUCCAAAUAAAAAAAAUGACACUAAAACUAUGGUGUUUAGAACUAUACACAGUAGUUAGUAAAGAAGAAGCUCAAGAACAGUGCCCUCAUAUUUUGGAGCUAAGCUUAUCACUGGAAGUAACCCACUAGUAAAAUCAAAUCAAAACAGACAAGAUUAGCUUGUCACAUGAAGGCAGAAAGAAUCAAACAGAAAAUCUAGUAGGUCUUGCCAAUGUGAAAAACAUGUAGCCCAGUUAAUGUUACAUACAUCUACAAAAAUCAAUGUCUCAAUCGAUGGUGUACAGAAAGUCCAAAGUAUUGUUUCAGAGGAUUUCUAGGACUGUUUGAGGAAGAUGAUGCCUUGGGGCUUCCCAACCACUGAGUUGUGGACUGGUACCCGACCGUGGCUGGUUAGGAACCAGGCCACAUAGCAGGAGGUGGUGAGUAGUGGGAGUGAGAAUUACUGCCUGAGCUCUGCCUCCUGUCAGAUCAGUGACAGCAUUAGAUUCUCAUAGGAGCAUGAGAACUGUACAUGUGAGGGAUCUCGGUUGCAUGCUCCUUAUGAGAAUCUAAUGCCUGAUGAUCUGAGGUGAAACAGUUUCAUCCCAAAACUAUUCCCAUACUGACUAUAUCUCCAUUCCGCCCGCCCCCCAACCCAACCCCUGGAAAAAUUGUCUUCCACAAAAUCAGUCCCUGGUGCCAAAAAGGUUGGGUACCACUGCCUUACUGGAUGCCAUAGGUAAUUACAGUUCAGUGAUAGUGGUUAUCAAGAUAGUCGGGCCAAUACUUCUUUGUUAAAUUAUCUGCUCAAAAUUUUUCCAUUUAUAAUCUGGCCAUCCAUACAGAGUUUUCAAAAAAUGAAGGAAUAUGAUGGUCAUCUUGACAUAAGGAACUUGAUCAGUGCCAUAACACUGACUUAGGCAUCAGAGAUUUGGGUCAGGUACCUGGCUCCGCCCCUUACUGCUGUCACCUGCAGCAAUCACACACAUGUGUGAUCAAGACAGGGUCAUGGGAAGUUUUUGGCUCUGAAAGGUUAAGGUCAAGAUGAGGAAAAUUCUGGCCUAAGAAAUCCUGCCUAAAUGGUCAGCUAAGCUAUAAGGACUGAACUGAAACAGCACUGCCUCCGUGACAAAAAUGAGAAGCUAUUUUAUAAAACCAAACCCUGGUAUAUAUUUUACUGUUCUAACAAGAAAGGAAGGUUGCCGGGACUGACCCACAGACCCUGACAGAGCAACAGAUGAGAAAAUGCACUCUGACCCAGAUAUCCAAUGAAAGAGCAGGCUAGGGGACCAGGUAACCCACAGAAAGAGUUGUAGCAGCUGCAGCCCUGACAAGCUGGGGCUGCAGGCAUUUAUUUAGUACAGAUUUAAUGACAGAGGCCUUGAGUCAACACACUUGUGGGUAAUUAACAUGGUCACCCCUCAUCCCCUUUCUAUCUAACCUAAGCUUUUAGGCACCGGAUAAGAGAAUCUGGCUGCCUUCAGCCAAAUCCUUUUCCGAAGCUUUUGUAAAACCUCCCAGCCUUCCAAGAAGGUUUGCAUCUUUCCACAGUUUUUCCCGCCACCCUGACUGAUCUCCUACAGAAGGCAAAAAAGGCUGUCAAUCAAUGAAUCAAAUAUUUACUUCCUAGUUUUUCAGAUAAUAAAUAAGCACUUAUUAUAUUCUGAUAAUUAAUUAACUUUCUAAUAACCAUAACAGGUCAGCCGGGGUCCUUUUAUUAUUAUCUCCGCAACUUGCAACUAAGGAUCAUUAAAAGAUAUAUGCAAAAUGCUCAGUUUAACACCUAAUUUAUGCUACACCCAAUUUUAAGCCAAGAGAAGGUUAGAUUUAUAAUGGGAUACAACACUCAAGCAACAGAAGUGGAAAAAAUAAAGAUUCUGAAUUUCCUAUCCACUAAUUACUUUGUUAUAACUGGAGAAAUUUUUCUGGACACAGGCGUAAAUAUUUAGUAGAUUUAAUUCUCUUAAGAAUAAAUUUGUUAAAAUAAAAAUUAAGAAAAUAUUUGAUAGCUUUUCCAUUUAUUUUGGGUUUUAAAUUGAGAUAACCAGACAAACGACAGCAAUUUUGGUGAUUGCUGGAUGAUACAAACACCUGUGUAGCUAGGGCUGUACAGGCAUUUUUAUUUGGUUGACAGACAACUAGAACUGAAAUCAGUUGCUGAAUUUCAACCAAUUUAAGUGAAUUACUUGACCUACAAGCUAUGUAACCCUAAAUUUCUCAAUGCAGCUGCCAGAAAUCUAUUUUCUAAAUGCAACAACAGCUGGUUUUGAACAAUACUGGAAUAUAGCAAUUUUCAGUUAUUC